rnacentral:lncRNA from 1 species
CUCACGAAAGCACACACUUACACGCUGAGUGCGUGGGUACUAAAUCGGCAAUUGAAAAGAACAAAUAGAGCUCAAAAAGCUUUUGAAGAUACAGAAAAUCGAACAGGGAAGAAGAAAUUAAAGGAAAUUUUGGAAUAAUUGAAUACCAGAUCGAGGAAGUAGGUGGUGAUUAAACAGUUCAAAUACUUCGAUUGGAGUGAGAGAAGAGCCAAACGAUUCGGAAUUCGAAUUUCUUCAUCGGAGAGUGAUCUCCAACCUGAUUUUAGUUUUCCCUAGGACCAUCUCCCCGGUACUUCUUCAAUUUCCCCUUUAUAAUCGGUGUAUGUUGUUUAUUUUAUUUAUAAAAUUAGAUUUACUCUUGAUUUUUGGAACUUUUCAC